rnacentral:lncRNA from 1 species
CCCUGGGAUUUUGGGGGGUGGGGGGGACCCCAAAAAUACGGGGCAGGGGGUCCCCAAAUUACUGGGGGGGGACCCCCAAAACCCCGCCCCACAGCGCUGGGGCGCCCCAUAGGGUGUGUGCCGUGGGGUGCCCCAUAAGUCCCAUGGGGCGCCCCAUAGGGCCCCAUGUCUGCCAUGGGGCGCCCCAUAUCGAUCUAUGGGGUGCCCUAUAGGGCCCUGUCUUUGCCAUGGGGCGCCCCACAGAGCCCCAUAAGUGCCAUAGGGCGCCCUAUAUUGGGCUGUGGGGCACCCAUAGGGCCCAGUCUGUGUUGUGGGGCACCCCAUAGGGCCCCAUCUCUGCCAUGGGGCACCCCAUAGGGCCCCAUUUUUUCCAUGGGGCACCCCAUAGAGCCCUGUACUUGCCAUGCCCCCCCCCCCAGUGCCGUGGGGGCCCCCAGACGGCCCCGGCGGGCCCCCCCGGCGGGCUUUUU